rnacentral:rRNA from 1 species
UACGUAGGUGGCAAGCGUUGUCCGGAAUUAUUGGGCGUAAAGCGCGCGCAGGCGGUCCUUUAAGUCUGAUGUGAAAGCCCACGGCUCAACCGUGGAGGGUCAUUGGAAACUGGGGGACUUGAGUACAGAAGAGAGGAGUGGAAUUCCACGUGUAGCGGUGAAAUGCGUAGAGAUGUGGAGGAACACCAGUGGCGAAGGCGACUCUUUGGUCUGUAACUGACGCUGAGGCGCGAAGGCGUGGGGGAGCAAACAGG